UUUAGGUACGGUGACGUCGUUCCUAUAACUGUAUUUGGCAAAAUCGCCGGCGCCGGUUGCGCAAUUAUGGGAAUUCUUUGCAUUUCGUUCCCUGUCCCGGUGAUCGUAUCAAAC
rfam:Ciona intestinalis ciona0037, whole genome shotgun sequence.